CGGACACAACAUGGACUGUUAGAAAACACUUCACUUUCUUCCUUCCUAACCCCUCCUUUUGUUUUCCCUCCAAUCCUCCCUUCUUCUCCAUGAAUCCAUGGAGCACUAGAAAGAUAGGAGGGGCAUGAGCCCCCCGGAAGAUCCGCCCGUGAUCGGUGGUUAGGAAGAAGCAGUCAUGAGUCAUGACACGGAGCAGUAGGAACAGCUCAAGUCAUAGCAGAGGACACAGGUGAAAGGCAAGGUGUGAACUUUUUCUGAGCAACAAAGGAGAGGAGUAUGAUGUGCUUCCAGAUUUCUCAAGUCGCAUGGAGUUUGGUGCGGGAUCAGAAUUACCGACAAAGGCUACAGUAUACAUAGAAGAAAAAGGCGAGGCCGCCGAUUCCAGCCGGAUCCGGUCCCUCCUUGGCCAUCUUCAGCUUACCGGUGGCGUGUUUUGGGUGAGGAAUCCUCCCUAGUAUACAUCUACUACUCUUCAAUUAGUCAUGUAGGUUCUAGAAGGUUUUGAGCUCCGUCGUGAGAGGGAGCGGCGAUGGAAGUGCUCGCGGGUGGCAGACUGUUGUCUGUGCAGGAGGAGGUGCUCGGUCUUCUCGUCAACUUCCCUAUCGGUGUCGGGUACGACUUUGAUUGCAUGCUCUCUUUCUUCAUCCUUGUCGAGGCAGCGGCCAAGACGAGCAGCCCGGACCAGUGCGUCGUGGCACAACGGGAAGUUCGUGGAGGCACGGAGCUAUCGUUCGAGCGGCAUGAGGCGUUGCCUUGGUUUUUGUGGUCUUCGACGUUGAUCUUCGUCGUUGGUCUCGGUGUCGAUCGCGUCAUUGGUGCCAACUCCGGCCUAGUUUCGAUCUCCGCCAUUCUGGUGCCGACUCUCUGCAUCACUUAGACAUGGGAUCUCUCCUCGGGCCUACAGCUGGAAGUCCGGCUUUUGCUGUUGAAUGUUGUCUCCGAUGAUGCCGCCUUCGUCGGUGAUGUUCCCUAGAAUAGCUAUGGAAGAUACGUUUGUGUUUGGGUCUGUGAUGUGUAUGCAUUUGCGUAUGGGUACGUUUAUGAAAGUACUAUGUGUAUGUGUUCUGCAGAGGGAUUGGGUAUCAUCCUUUGGCGGAUUGUAGCUUUAGGCCGCACGCUUCUUUGCCGGUGGUCGUGGAAGUUCUUAUUUCCCUGUGUUUGAGCCAGCAAUGCAACCAUCGAUUCAUGUUCAGUAGCUUAGAUAUACUUCGGCAAUGGUUUCAGAGUACUGGAUGUUGCAGUAUUUUUCAAUAUUUGGAGUUAGUCGAUGGUCUCAACGCGAGGGGUUCGCUUCACGAUCUCGACUCGUUUAGAGCGGCAGAGAUCGUUUAGAGGCGAGGAAGUGUU